rnacentral:rRNA from 1 species
CAGAGAGAGACAGGUGGUGCANGGUUGUCGUCAGCUCGUGUCGUGAGAUGUUGGGUUAAGUCCGCAACGAGCGCAACCCUUGUCUUUAGUUGCCAGCAUUUAGGAUGGGCACUCUAGAGAGACUGCCGGGGAUAACUCGGAGGAAGGUGGGGAUGACGUCAAGUCAUCAUGCCCCUUAUGUUCUGGGCUACACACGUGCUACAAUGGCCGAUACAAAGAGAAGCAAGACCGUGAGGUGGAGCGAAUCUCAAAAACCGGCCCCNGUUCGGAUUGUAGGCUGCAACUCGCCUACAUGAAGCCGGAGUUGCUAGUAAUCGCAGAUCAGAAUGCUGCG